rnacentral:rRNA from 1 species
UGGGGAAUAUUGCACAAUGGGCGCAAGCCUGAUGCAGCCAUGCCGCGUGUAUGAAGAAGGCCUUCGGGUUGUAAAGUACUUUCAGCGGGGAGGAAGGUGUUGUGGUUAAUAACCGCAGCAAUUGACGUUACCCGCAGAAGAAGCACCGGCUAACUCCGUGCCAGCAGCCGCGGUAAUACGGAGGGUGCAGGCGUUAAUCGGAAUUACUGGGCGUAAAGCGCACGCAGGCGGUCUGUCAAGUCGGAUGUGAAAUCCCCGGGCUCAACCUGGGAACUGCAUUCGAAACUGGCAGGCUAGAGUCUUGUAGAGGGGGGUAGAAUUCCAGGUGUAGCGGUGAAAUGCGUAGAGAUCUGGAGGAAUACCGGUGGCGAAGGCGGCCCCCUGGACAAAGACUGACGCUCAGGUGCGAAAGCGUGGGGAGCAAACAGGAUUAGAUACCCUGGUAGUCCACGCCGUAAACGAUGUCGACUUGGAGGUUGUGCCCUUGAGGCGUGGCUUCCGGAGCUAACGCGUUAAGUCGACCGCCUGGGGAGUACGGCCGCAAGGUUA